UGGACCAAGAGGGUGGCGUUGUGGGGCUUCAUCACCAUGUCGCACAACUUGAGGAAGGGUACCACGUUGAAUGCGUUCAUGAUCCAUCCAGAGUUCUCUGCAUGAGGCCUGAAGGCAAUGAACUAAGGCCAAGCAAAUUACACUGAACAGAACAAGGGCAAGAUAUGAACAGACGUUUGAUGGGGAUAUUUUGUUUCCAAAUAUUCCUCGUUUUAUGUUAUAGAUCCCCACAAAAUGGUUGCAUUCUCUCAACUCAGCCUUGUAUUUGAUCACUCACUGGAACGAAUCCGUUAUUACAGCUUCGUGCAUCUCUCUUCCCUGUGUGCCUCCUGCUAGGUUUACCUUCUUGUCUUUGCUCAGAGAUAAUCCAGACCAUCACUCUUUAUUUAAAAUCUUGGAGAUUAUCUUACCAAAUGACAAGAGAAAGAGAGAAAUGGCCCAAAGAAAAACACGCAAAACAAUAAGGAUUAGCAUAUUUCGCUUUGACUGAUGGAUUCAUGGCUUUCAAUUUCUCUGAAAAGCAACUGUAACAUUCCGAUGAGCUGAUCGAGGAAGGUUGUCGUUUCAGUGAUCCUCUGGAGACUGUCACAGGCAGCAGAAUCAAAAACAGGUUUACAAUUAAUGAAGCAGAAGAGUAUUGUGAAGAAGAAUCUGAUGAGUUCCUUCAACAGCUGUCAUGGGCAAAGAUUUCAUAUCAAAUUGAUUAGCCUGGCCCUCAUUCAGCUAGCUGAGGAUUAUUAAUUGAGAUUGGGAGAGAGUAUUUGAAAUACUCCUGUCUGUAAACUCCAUAGGAAUGGUGUUACCCUACAUGUUCCAUUCUUUUAAGCUAGUCCUUACAGAGUGGAAGCCACCUUAAUGUCACAUGUAGUACUUUACACAGUUCCCCAGUUCAUUAGAAAACUAUGAUGAUGAUAUCAUUUAAGGUUUUUAUAUUUACAGACUUUAUAUUCUUCUAGGCAAUUUUUCUACCAUUUGGCUAUUUGUUCAGAGAAAAAUGUUUGAAAGAGAAAAUUAACAUGCUCUUUCAAUCACUAACUCAAAAAGUUCUUGAAACAAAUUGGUCCAAUGAUAAUAUUGGUAUUUAAUUUCCUUGAUCAAAUGCAAAGGAAUAUUUAAUGAAUAUAAACUAAAAAAUCUUCCAGGAUUAAAGUAUCAUGUAUUAAUUUAUUUAAUGAAAAUUUGUUGAACAUUUCCCAAGCAUUUGGAGAAAAUAGUGAAUACGAUAGACUUGGUCAUUCAUUUUAUCAUGCUUAGAGUCUAGUGGGUGCUAUACAAAGAAUAGACUUUUUUUUUUUUAAAAAAAACACAAUUGAAAAAACUAUUGCAGACUUCCAGUUCUAGUUCAGCAUGAAGGGAGGUUGGAAAUCGUCACUCCU
rnacentral:lncRNA from 1 species